rnacentral:rRNA from 1 species
UUGCUUUAGAGAUACUUUAGUGGCGGACGGGUGAGUAACGCGUGAGGAGCUGUCCUAUGCAGGGGGACAACAGCUGGAAACGGCUGCUAAUACCCCAUAAGCCGAGAGGUAAAAGGAUCAAUCCGGCAGAGGAGGUACUCGCGUCCUAUCAGCUAGUAGGUGAGGUAACGGCUCACCUAGGCGAAGACGGGUAGCCGGCCUGAGAGGGCGAACGGCCACACUGGAACUGAGAUACGGUCCAGACUCCUACGGGAGGCAGCAGUGGGGAAUAUUGGGCAAUGGGGGAAACCCUGACCCAGCGACGCCGCGUGGGUGAAGAAAUCCUUCGGGAUGUAAAGCCCUGUUGUAUGGGAAGAGCGGAAGACGGUACCAUACGAGGAAGCCCCGGCAAACUACGUGCCAGCAGCCGCGGUAAUACGUAGGGGGCAAGCGUUGUCCGGAAUUACUGGGCGUAAAGCGCACGCAGGCUGAAUUAUAAGUCGGUAGUCAAAGGCGGAGGCUCAACCUCUGUAUAUCUAUCGAUACUGUAAAUCUGGAGUAUGUGAGAGGGAAGCGGAAUUCCCGGUGUAGCGGUGAAAUGCGUAAAUAUCGGGAGGACACCAGGGGCGAAGGCGGCUUCCUGGCACAUACUGACGCUCAUGUGCGAAAGCUAGGGCAGGAACGGGAUU